UCAUUGUAUUUUCAACAGCUGAGGUGACUUCAUUACAGACCUGUCGUUUGAGCUUCGAGCACGGGGUUGUUGGAGACGUAAGCUGAGGGGAUUGUCUUUGUAGUGAGUUGAUAAAGUUUUUCUGCUUAAUAAAGUACCGUCCCUUGAGACUAGCAACGAUGAACUGUGGUGGAUUUGGUGGCGCAUUUCGGGUUUAUGUCUUUGUGUUGAUGCUAUGCUUGACGAUAUUUUGGGAUAUCCAGAGUUCAAAUGCAUUAUCAACUGAUGUACCCGUUAACCAGGACACAGUUUCAACUUGUGUAACAUGCAGCAAACAUGAACAGCUCAUGACAAAACUAACCGACUUGAAACAAUCGGCGAGAGUGCUCAGCCAAAGAAUGGAAAAAGUUGGAACUAAGUUGGACGAUUUAGAGCAAUGCAGUUGUGUUCAAAAAUGAAGACCAUCUGGACUGGAAACAGUAAUGUGACAUAUGAUAUUAAGGGUUACUGCCACAUUCCUACGGUUGCCAAAGUUUACUAGCUGGGAAAACCUUGCCAAGAUCUGUCACCAAAUGCAAAUUCAGGUUGUAAAAAGAUGGAAUGUCCAAAGUUUGUCCUUUUGGUGUCAUUCACUUGCCACCAGGAUGUCUUGUUUCUAUGACAACAGCUGUGAGUGAGAGACAGGGAAGACAGCUCCUUUAAAAUGCACCUUGACCUUACUGCCGUUGUUUUUUGACCGCCAUGCCUUGGAGUAAUUAAUUCCGCAGCCGAGCAGGAAAGCCACAUGUAUCUGUAGGCAAAAAAUAUGUCAACUUGGACAAAAAUAUGCACAGUGCAUGGCCCCUGUGGAAUGCCACUUUGUUGCAUUCAAGUUUGUUUGUAUAGUCUGCUGAAAUGUUGCUGAAUUUUGGGAACUUUUGCCAUGAAAUGGAUCUAAAAGUUUUGUGUUUUAUUUUUUAAUAGUGUUGAGGAAAAGCAUAUGGCUACGUAAGCUAUGUAGGCUUUGUAAGCCUAACAAAAGAAAACUGCUUUUUGAAUGACCUUUUCUGAAGAGAAUUAAUCAAAGAAGUAUCUGUUUUGACCAGUGGCCAGACAGUAUUGCAGUCAUGUGCUAGUACAUGUACAUGUGUUUGUUUAACUUUAAGUUUGGUUAACUAGGUUUAUUAACCUACAUUAUCCCUGUUGGAAGCUAUAAUGUCAUUGAUUUUCCUGACCAGUCAAUUUGAGUCAAGUGAAUAAUCAUUUUGUGUAGAGUGCAAGAACGUGUAUACCGUGAUGAAAGUUCUUUGGGGGGAAGGUAAUAUUAUCUUUACAUCGAGAUCAAAACAAUGCCAUCAAAUUAGUAGGCCUGUCUGUUGUUGAAGAGGUUAUUUGAAAACUCUGUCUUCAGGGACACAGUGUAACGUGACCUUUUAAUGUGGCUUAGGAACCAUCAUAUCCGAUGGUUAAUGUGAAUCAUAUACCGACAGGAGGGAAGUCAUAAACAAGAUAACAUGCUGCACCAGGCUCGUUGGUGUCCAACUUUACAUAGACUUGAUUCAAGCCUGGUUAGAUUCCAGGUAAUUCUAGUCAUUGUUGGUAAACAUAGCAAAUCCAUGUUAAUGUACAAUGGGGUAUUUAUGUGUCACUUUUCCACUGGACCUGUUACAAGUUUAACUUGGAACAAGUCUACCAAUGUUGUACGGCUUUCUGUUUUGCAACCAGUUGCAUUCUACAAGGUUGCCUUCAACAACAAACAUUUCCAGCGUCGUAACUUCCGGUACAGUCACCUUGUUUUCACGGGGAAAGAUUUUGGGGGAGUAUGUCAUUACAUGUUUGUUUCUUUUGGCUUUUGUGACUAGGAAUUCGUGUUAUUGCAUUAUACAUAAAAAGCUGAAAUGCCAAGAUGUGACAAAACUUGUUUCAUUUUUACAUCUUGUCCCGGCAGGCCCUAAAAGAAUUUAAUGUUAUCUGUGUGGACAUACAUUUUUAAUGUUCAGUUGCCAAAAUUUAAUUUAAUGAUUUUAACAUUCUUUUCUAAAAUUAAACAUUUAUACUUUACGCAGUUGUAAUCAUGACUUCCAGGACCAAAUUAUGAUACUUGUUUACAAAUAUCUUGUACUUUUCUGCUUAACGUUCAUGUUUUAUAUUGAUUGAGACAUGGCACUUUAAUUUCCAACUGCUAUGCUUUAACACCUUCAUUUGUAUAUAAAAUGUGAUCAAACAUUGAGAUCGAAAAACGA